CCUACGGGUGGCAGCAGUGGGGAAUAUUGCGCAAUGGGCGAAAGCCUGACGCAGCGACGCCGCGUGAGGGAUGAAGGUCUUCGGAUCGUAAACCUCUGUCAGCAGGGAAGAACCGUCACUGUGCUAAUCAGCAGUGAAUUGACGGUACCUGCAAAGGAAGCACCGGCUAACUCCUUGCCAGAAGCCGCGGUAAUACGGAGGGUGCGAGCGUUAAUCGGAAUUACUGGGCGUAAAGCGCUCGUAGGCGGUAUGUCAAGUCAAGGGUGAAAUCCCCGCGCUCAACGUGGGAACGGCCUUUGAAACUGGCAAACUGGAGUGUGUGAGAGGAUAGUGGAAUUCCAGGGGUAGGAGUGAAAUGCGUAGAUAUCUGGAGGAACAUCAGUGGCGAAGGCGACUAUCUGGCACAUAACUGACGCUGAGGAGCGAAAGCGUGGGUAGCAAACAGGAUUAGAUACCCUGGUAGUC
rnacentral:rRNA from 1 species